UACGUAGGCAGCAAGCGUUGUUCGGAGUUACUGGGCGUAAAGGGUGCGUAGGCGGCUUUUUAAGUCUGGUGUGAAAUCUCCCGGCUCAACUGGGAGGGUGCGCCGGAUACUGAGGGGCUAGAGUGUGGGAGAGGAAAGUGGAAUUCCUGGUGUAGCGGUGAAAUGCGUAGAUAUCAGGAGGAACACCGGUGGUGUAAACGGCUUUCUGGACCAUAACUGACGCUGAGGCACGAAAGCGUAGGUAGCAAACAGG
rnacentral:rRNA from 1 species